AGUUCACUUUCCUGUCCCAAGUAUGAGCAUGCUGCUGGCUUAUGGAGGCUGAUUAAACAAAGGACAAGAUUGGAGUGGGAAAUGGAGGCUCUUAAAAGUGGAAGCUUUUUGUUUGUCCAUUUAUAAGAAAUUGGACAAUGAAUCACUUCAGGAAGAUGGAGGUCAUCAACCUCACUGCCCUACCUAUGAUACCAGUGGAUGAGCACCUGGCUGUCUCGCUUGUCGCACGGAAUACAAUGGUGAAGACCGUGAGGAAGGAGUUAGAGAACAGUCCACCCUCGUGCCUUAUUGGCUCCAUGCACCAGGUGAACCAAAAGAUUGCUGACAUAAAUCUGCGUAUCGAGCCGUCGGCCAACAGCCUGGCAAUUGAGAGAUUUGAGUUGGAGAAGAAGGCUUUAAGAGAGAAAACUCGCAGCAGUCCAGGAGACAAAGUCAAGAGACAAAGAAAAUCUCAGUAUUCCUGCAAAGGCUCCGAACUCAGACAUGCCAGAUCUUCUGUUAUAAAAAGGAAAACAGCAGAUAAAAAUCUGCUGGUGGAGCUGUACCAGUAUUCCAACUUUA
rnacentral:sRNA from 1 species